rnacentral:lncRNA from 1 species
UUUUUUUUUUUUUUUUUUUUUUUUGGCUUUUUAGGGCUGCACUUGCAGCGUAUGGAAGUUCCCAGGCUAGGGGUCAAAUUGGAGCUAGAGCUGCCAGCCACAGCCACAGCAACACAGGAUCUGAGCUGCGUUUGUGACCUACACCACAGCUCAUGGCAACGCUGGAUCCCCGACCCACUGAGCAGAGCCAGGAUUCAAACCUGCAUCCUCAUAGAUACUAGUUGGAUUCGUUUCCACUGUGCCACAAUGGGAACUCCCAAUAAUGGUUGAAAUUCUGUUUAAAGAAUCUAAUAACUCAUCCUUUGCUCUUAUUGAUAAGUGAUGUUGGAAAUUCUUGGGAUAAUAGGAAUGGAUUUCAAGUCCAAUAGAAGUUUAUCAAAGCAAGUGUUUCAGGAUAAAGAUGAAGCUCUGUGAGUGCUGGGACACAACUUGGACAUGGGAGCCACAAAUGGGAAGAAGCACAGGAUAGAUGUGAAGACAAAGAUUGGGGCCCCAUCUGAAACUGGUGUGCUGGUAGCCUCAGCUCAGCCUUCCUUGACCUACUGGAUGUUUGCCCUGCUCCUUCUUUAGCAGCUGCAGCAGCCUGUGAUUAUGGCAAAGUGUGCCACAGAGGUCCGCUGAGCAGUCAGCCAGGUGGUAGGGCAUCUUCUCAGUCCCUCUCAUCCUAUCACAGUGGAACAAGGAUGCUGGGUGUCUCUCAUGUCCCUCAAUGUUCCCACCCCAUCAGACCCCACCCCCUGGGGCUGUCCUUUGAGGAACCUUCUGCUCCUUUGAGGACCACACUGCUGCAAGUCAGAGAGGUCCAGCAGCUCCCUGCCUUCCAUUCAUGGUUCACCCUUGGCACACCAUUAUAAAGCUCUGCUCUGGGUUGGCCAUGAACGUGUACAGCCAGGAUGUGAUGGGAAAUGGCAAGAGGACAUAGAGUCGCCCCUGGUUUUGUAGUCUUGUCAAAUUUCUAUGAACCAGUGCCUGUGCUAUGGGCCUCUCGUCUCUCUUGCUGAACAUUAGUGUCUAUGGUGCUUAUCUUAUCCUUUCAAUGACAUUGUAUAUUGGGAGGUUAAGAAGCAGAUAACCCCGCCUCCAAAAAAAAAAAAGAAACAUUCUUUUGUAAUUGUUUUGUAAGACUUAUUGGAUGGCUAUGCAAUCUGUGUUUGUACAAGAAUUUUGGGCAACUGAUUUCAAAGAUUACUCAUUCAUUGAUUAAUUGCUUUCAAAAGAAUCUAUUGAGUAGAACUUCAUCUGGAAAAUGCUUUCUUUAGCCCUCACAGUCACCCUCUCCCAGAAACCAGAGCUCAUCACAAUCACAGUCACUAGCCCUCUCCCCAAGCAUUCCCUGAUCAAUGAGAGUUUACACGUUUCCUUUACAGUGGACCUUUGGGACAGAAAUAGACACUAGCCAGCUUGGGAGGUAUUAUGAGCAACCUCUUCAGGAAGUAAGAAAACAGCUGGUCCCUGAGUCCAUGAAAGAAGAGUAAGAGAGAGCAGAUUUAAGUUUCAACAGGAGCAACAAAAGCUGGAUGUAAAUGACAGCUGUCUAAUUCUAGAAGAUUUCCUUACUUGGGCCUAAAAGGAGCAGUGGACUAGGCAGCCAUGUGUGGAAUGAUUUGGGUGUGUCAAUGUCUAGAAGCAAAGAAGAGAUGUAUGAUUUCUUUAUUUUUUUGAGUUUGUUUUUUAAAAUGAUUUUUAUUUUUUCCGUUAUAGCUGGUUUACAGUGUUCUGUCAAUUAAGUUUAUUUCUUUUUGGAUUAUGAAAAGCAACCUGUAGAAGAUAAAUAUUUCUCAUAAUCCUACUACCUAGUCAUAGCCACUGUUAACAGUUUGAUGUAUUUCCUUGUACUUGUUUUUAUAUAUACAUAUUUUUUUAUGUAUGGUAUGCAUAAUUUUUCAUUUUUAUCCCUCAUUUAUUUAGCAUCUUCCCACAUUAUGAAAUAUCUUCCAAGCCCAUUUUUAAUAACUAUAAUCUCUUGUAAGAAUAUAUCAUAGUUACUAUUGCCAUUUCCUUAUUUGUCUCAAUUUAGGUUAUGUACAAUGUCUCAGCAUCAUAAAUGAGCUGAGAUCAAAAGGUUUACAUCCAAAGCUUUCUCUCUUUUGCAAAGUAAAGUAAGUCUGAUGACCAACAUUGCCUUCACUUAUCUCAUCUGCUACAGAGGACCCCUUUCUGAGGGGCCCUGGACCAAGUUCCACCCUGAGAAUAAACACGUGUGUGAAUUUCAUUCUUACUGCAUUGAUUUUGGGCAAUCUGAUUUCAGUUUAUGAGGCAUCUUUUUUGGCCAAGCCUUUCUGUGAGAACUGUGAUAGGAUUGCAAGCCAAACAAAGUCAAACCAAAGCAGCCAUAGUGAUAUUGACAAAGUAGUCAUUCUAUUGGAGUGUAUUUGAAAAUGGCACGUUAUCAUUUGCCGGAGCAAAAUGGAGCCAUUUUACCUUAGGAAGGUUACAUUCUUCUUGACUCAUAUUUCCAUGCUUCUCAGGGGUCCUUUUCUGAUGGUGGGACAAACAAUUAAUGUUGAGGAGGGCUUGGUUCCAUGAUGUCAGCAUGAUCUGACCCUUGGAGGUACGCCCGGAACAUGGCCAUUAUGUGCUUCCUCUUAGCUUUUAGGACUGCUGAAAAAUAAUAACAGGACCACGGCUUAAUGGCAUGGAAUUUAAAGCCAUUGACCUUGCCUGACCAAGUCACUCACAUUUGUAUAAACCUGAGGAAAUGCCCAAGUGACAACUUUAGCUUUGGUAAAAAUGUCUUUUUUUAUCCUUGUAAUUAUAAAAUGGAAGUACUUGGCCACUGCCUAGAAAAUAAACUAUCUGUUUUUAUUUUUGCUUGCUGGAGGGGGAGCUGUAUAUGGCUGUGCUGUCAUUUUCAAACCAGCCACUGAGUACAGAGGCUUGUACCAUUGCCUUUAAGCCUGUGGGCGUGUUUUUAGUUGAAAACUUAUGAACCCAAUAUAUCAUCUUUGGGUGCUAAUCUAAAUUGAUCUCACUUUGUUCUUUGGUGAGUUUGGGUGGCACAAGCCAGUGCUUUUCAGAGACUGCUGAGAUCCCCAGUUUAAGCUGAAUUUAGAAGCUUCACGUUGGCAAACUGUACAUUAAGUCUCUGAGGCCACACACCUCACUACCCUUCUCUCAUUGUCCCAGCUUAUUCCCAAUCUCUGAAGUGCUGGGAUUGUUGGGAUAUAAAAACUAUAUCUAGUGCUGUCCAUAAAACAGAUAUUCUCUGUCCCAUAGACCCAAAACUUGCCUUUUUUUUUUUUUUUUUUUUUUUUUUUUUUUUUUUUUUUAGUCUUUUUAGGACCACACCUGCGGCAUAUGGAAGUUCCCAGGCUAGCAGUCGAAUUGGAGCUGCAGCUGCCAGCCUACACCACAGCCACAGCAACGUCAGAUCCAAGCCGUGUCUGUGACCCACACCAAGCUCACGGCAACACUGGAUCUUAACCCACAGAACGAGGCCAGGGAUGGAACCCGAGUCCUCAUGGAUUCUAGUCGGGUUUAUUAACCACUGAGCCAAGAAGGGAACUCCCCAAAACUUGCCUAUUAACUGUUGCUGAAAAAAGUCUUGGAGUUUCCUUGUGGUGCAAUGGGUUAAGGAUCUGGCAUUAUCACUGCAGCAGCUUGGAUUGCUCCUGUGGUGCAGGUUUAAUCCCUGGCCCAGGAACUUCCACAUAGUGCAGGUGUGGCCACAAAAAAAUCUUUACUAGAGCUUUUUCAUACAGUAGGGUGAUCAUAAAUGAACUAUGAUCAUGCAAGGAUAUAAGAAAUGUGAAAUAUACUGCCACCAAAACCAGGCAGCCCUCUUCCUUAAAGUGAAUUGAAGGCUGGAAAUAAAGAUUUAUAAACUCAGAGGAGAACCAGAUUAACUGAAAGUCCAUAAGUAGCCAGGAUUAAGCAAAGUGUAAUGGAUUUUCCUCUCCUAUAAGUUCAAGGAUGGUAAGGCUGCAUUUCUUUGUUCCUUGAAUUCUUCAUCGUCUUGUUAAUCUGGAAGCAUGCCAGGCUUCAGGAGCGGGUGAAGAGCUCCUUGGUCUUUAAGUCCUUCUUAACAUUAAAGGACAGUAUUUAAAACCUCUCUUGAAGCCACCUCUAACAUUUGUAGGAUUGCUGCCAAUCUCUGUUCCUUGCAAAGAGCAAGGAGAUGUAAAAACAGCAACAGCACCUCUCUCAGGGUCCCCCAGCCCUUUCUUUAUAACUUCUUCCCUUUGAUAAAGUGAAAUUGGCAUGCUGUAUUGUGUCAGAGUUUGGGGCCCACAUAGAUACGGAUGGGAGGUAAAGAGUGACUGGCUACCGCUGUGCCAGGUGUUCACCGAUUGUAAAACUGAAUAAUGGAUAAUAACCAUCUCAGUGUGUUUAUCAGUGCAGUUUUCUCUCUCUGAUGUAGAAGAGGUCACUGGAGACAAUGUGCAGGCCUCUCGUCGGUCCUAUUAACACGGCACUGCUGGCUGGAAUUCAGGCUCCAUUACUUACGUACAACAAUGGCAGGGACCCUGCCUCGAGUUGUAAUUAGGCUUGAUCAGGGCUAGGGUACAGUUGGUCUAAUCAGAAUCACUCAGAAUUAAUUUUAGUCUUGUGAAAGGAUAUGAGGUGAGAUUGAUUUCAUGGUAACCAAAGCAACCCUGUCUUCUAUAACUCUCCAAGCUAGAGAGACAGAGAGAGAAAAUGAAUGGUAAAAAAUGAGGGCAAAUGAAAACAGAAAGAUGACCGUUUUAGUUCUGUUAAUUUUAUUGCAACUGGUUAGAAGAAAAUGUGUUUCGAUGAGAGCAAAUAUAUUCUACAGGGUGAUCACUGGGUACUAGAAACUUUUAUAGGUCUCAUUUGAGCCUAAAGCAAAUCCUGUGAUGCUUAAUUCCUCUUUGUGUGGUCCAUUUCAUAUGUGUUUGGAAAUAGCCCUUUAGAGCAAGAAUUUCAUUCUGCAGGAGGAGGAAAUUCAAGCUGGGCAGUAUUUCCUUUCUCUGGUAAGAAUCAGUUCUUUAGCUUUUUACCUCUGGACUUAUGUCUGUCUCAGACCCAGUGACCACUGGCUUACACGAGAGCAAAGAGAAGAUUUUGGAGACCUGUUUGCGAGAUAGUUUAAGAAGUUACAUCCUAGACCUCGGACUCAGGACCGCCCCUCACUGGUGCUCCUGGAGUCCUGGGCACAAGAUGGCAGAGCAGCGUUGGCCACCUGGGGUGCCCUGAUCAGGCUCUCCCCAGUGCUCUGUGCACCCAAUCUCACCUGGCUGUGCGGCCACCCCAGUACCACCCCAGUUCAUGGAGGCCACGGAGGUGCCCGGGCCACAUACCCAUAUUCCCCCCAACACACACCCCCGUUUCCAGGCCCAAGCCUUCCUAAGUGCAUGUUCACGAGGACGCUGGCCCUCCGAGGGUUCUGACCAGCCAGGGGUGGGGUCUGCCCUAUAGCCUGACUCCUGGCGUAGAGCCUCCAGAUAACCUGGUCUCCCUCCCAGAAAAACAGGGCUGCUUUUUCUUUUUUUCUUUUUAAAUGAUUUUUAUUUUUUUCCAUCAUAGCUGGUUUAUAGUGUUCUGUCAAUUUUCUGCUGUAGAGCAAGGUGACUAAUCACACAUACAUGUAUAGAUUCUUUUUCUCACAGUAUCAUGCUCCAUCAUAAGUGACUAGAUAGAGUUCCCAGUGCUAUACAGCAGGAUCUCAUUGCUUACCCAUUCCAAAGGCAAUAGUUUGCAUCUAUUAACCCCAUAUUUUUUCUGAUUAAAGAAAAUUAAGUGUGCUGUGCCAUUAUUUAAAAAAAAAAGUUACAGAGAUGUGGGAGGUGUGAUAAGGGACCAUGUCUAAAUCCUCAUUUAGUGAAUGGUCAUUCAGUUUUUUUCAGGUUAACAAGAUGCUGCUUUGGGAACAGAAUCUUAUCUUUAAGGUUUGAGAUAAUUGGUGAAGCGAGUGUGAAUAUGCACACGCUUUUGUUUGUGUACACACAUGCAGAUAUAGAUUCACAGGAUUUUUCCAUUUACACGUGUUUGAUCUGUGAUAUUUAGAUGUUGUAAGUGAAAUACUUACUCUAGCUCCUUUAUCCCUGUUGGCACAUUUAUGAAUCUCUUCCCAUGCCACAUCAGCUCCAAGAGUAGAAAUAUCACAGUCAUUUUGAGGACAGGAUACUGUUAAGUUUGUUUCUUAAAUACAUCUCUGGUGAUUAUGUGGAUGAGAAAAUGACAUGUAAAUAUUUUGAGUCAUUUAUGUGAGUAGGAAGUGUUUAAGCCAAGUAUGUCUCUUCCAGAUUAAAAAAGAAGAGAAGGGAGUUCCCGUUGUGGCACAGCAGAAAUAAAUCCGACUAGUAACCUUGAGGUUGCAGGUUCGAUCCCUGGCCUCACUCAGUGGGUUAAGGGUUAAGGAUCCAGCGUUGCCAUGAGUUGUGGUGUAGGUCACAGACGAAGCUCCAAUCCUGCGUUGCCGUGGCUGUGGCGUAGGUUGGCAACUGUAGCUCCGAUUUGAUCCCUAGCCUGGGAACCUCCAUGUGCCACAGGUGCGGCU